UGGGGGCUGGAAUACCCCCCGAAAUUCCCAAUAUUCCUGGAAAAAUUCCCCUGUUCUGACUCUUUUCCCUUUUUCCCCCUCAGGCUGACGGAGCUCCCGGAGCCGAUUCCGGGUGGGAUCGACGCCGAGAUGGACCCGGGGGAAAAUGCAGCUCUGGAGGGAUGGGUCACACAAAUCCGAAAACUGCAGGAGGAAUUUGAAAGUGACACUGAACUGGGUCUGUGAAUUUACCCCCGAAUCUGUGAGUUUAUCCCCACCCAGAUCAAUAAAUUCAUGCCCAGGUCUCAAAUUCCCUUUUUUUCCCCUUAUUUUCAGAGGAAUGUGACACAGAAAAUGGUGAGUUUUGGGGUCCAAAUUGUGCUAAAUAAUAAUAUAAUUAUUUAUAAUUAUAUAAU
rnacentral:lncRNA from 1 species